AGGGAAAGAUGAAACUGCUCACAAGUUGCAAGAUGUCCCCUUUUACUGCUUGUCUCUGCAUGCUCUCCAGCCAUCUCACCUUCAGCAUUUGGGUUCCACAUGCCUUGUUCUUAAGGAGUGGCUCACUAUGGCCUAAAAAGCAAUGGAAAUCUUCCCGACUGGGGAAAAGUGUGUGGAAGUGGAUCAAAGGCCCAGAUGAGCCUCUGUGACUGAAAUCUUCUGGAAUGAAGGACCAGAGGAGACUUCUGUUCAAUGCACACAGCAAGUGAUUCUCAGGGAGUUCCCCCUUACCCCGGCUCCAUUGGGACCAGCCACAACUUCCUUAGAGUAUGUUACUGUAGUACUGAAUGAAUUGAAAUGGAAGUUAUGGGUUAUCUCCAAGCAGGAUCAUGAAGUACCAAGUGGUGGAACAUGAGGGUAAAGCCACAUGCUGAAGAGAAAACUAGUCCUCAUGAAGUUGCGCAUGGAAGACCACUUCAGGUAUUGGCAGGUGGUAUUGAUGUAAACCAAUUAGGCAAACUAAAACUAAGAAAAUAUAAUCUCCUUAGGGUAAGUGCUAUCUUCGACUCACAGGUUCAUGGCACAGGUGGUACCAAGACCUCUGGAAGUCACAGUACAUCUGUCCAAACUGAGUGGAUGUAUCUACGGACUUGAGCUCUGAACCACUACAGGAGAAGUGGAAAGGACUGUAUCAAAUACUACUGACAACACAAACUGCUACCAAGGUGCCAGGAGUAGACUCUUGAAUUCAUUACACAAGAAUAAAAAGCACCCAGCCCACA
rnacentral:lncRNA from 1 species